rnacentral:rRNA from 1 species
AACAUCAAAUCGUACCCCAAACCGACACAGGUGGUCAGGUAGAGAAUACCAAGGCGCUUGAGAGAACUCGGGUGAAGGAACUAGGCAAAAUGGUGCCGUAACUUCGGGAGAAGGCACGCUGAUAUGUAGGUGAAGCGACUUGCUCGUGGAGCUGAAAUCAGUCGAAGAUACCAGCUGGCUGCAACUGUUUAUUAAAAACACAGCACUGUGCAAACACGAAAGUGGACGUAUACGGUGUGACGCCUGCCCGGUGCCGGAAGGUUAAUUGAUGGGGUUAGCGGUAACGCGAAGCUCUUGAUCGAAGCCCCGGUAAACGGCGGCCGUAACUAUAACGGUCCUAAGGUAGCGAAAUUCCUUGUCGGGUAAGUUCCGACCUGCACGAAUGGCGUAAUGAUGGCCAGGCUGUCUCCACCCGAGACUCAGUGAAAUUGAACUCGCUGUGAAGAUGCAGUGUACCCGCGGCAAGACGGAAAGACCCCGUGAACCUUUACUAUAGCUUGACACUGAACAUUGAGCCUUGAUGUGUAGGAUAGGUGGGAGGCUUUGAAGUGUGGACGCCAGUCUGCAUGGAGCCGACCUUGAAAUACCACCCUUUAAUGUUUGAUGUUCUAACGUUGGCCCCUGAUCGGGGUUGCGGACAGUGUCUGGUGGGUAGUUUGACUGGGGCGGUCUCCUCCUAAAGAGUAACGGAGGAGCACGAAGGUUGGCUAAUCCUGGUCGGACAUCAGGAGGUUAGUGCAAUGGCAUAAGCCAGCUUGACUGCGAGCGUGACGGCGCGAGCAGGUGCGAAAGCAGGUCAUAGUGAUCCGGUGGUUCUGAAUGGAAGGGCCAUCGCUCAACGGAUAAAAGGUACUCCGGGGAUAACAGGCUGAUACCGCCCAAGAGUUCAUAUCGACGGCGGUGUUUGGCACCUCGAUGUCGGCUCAUCACAUCCUGGGGCUGAAGUAGGUCCCAAGGGUAUGGCUGUUCGCCAUUUAAAGUGGUACGCGAGCUGGGUUUAGAACGUCGUGAGACAGUUCGGUCCCUAUCUGCCGUGGGCGCUGGAGAACUGAGGGGGGCUGCUCCUAGUACGAGAGGACCGGAGUGGACGCAUCACUGGUGUUCGGGUUGUCAUGCCAAUGGCACUGCCCGGUAGCUAAAUGCGGAAGAGAUAAGUGCUGAAAGCAUCUAAGCACGAAACUUGCCCCGAGAUGAGUUCUCCCUGACUCCUUGAGAGUCCUGAAGGAACGUUGAAGACGACGACGUUGAUAGGCCGGGUGUGUAAGCGCAGCGAUGCGUUGAGCUAACCGGUACUAAUGAACCGUGAGGCUUAACCUU